rnacentral:lncRNA from 1 species
GUUCUUCAUGAUGGCGUCGUGGAUUCGGCGUGAUUGACGGCGGUUCGUGGAUUCGGAUCGUGGGCUCGUGGAUUCGAGUAGCGUUCGUAGAUUCGGACGUGUGCAAGACGUUCGUGGAUUCGAACGUGAGGGCGUGGACAACCCGGAGGAUUGCGCGAGAUUCAUAGGAGGUUAAGAGAGGUUGAGUCCGUGGAGUCGGUAAUCUCCUUGUAAUUUUUUCUCUUAGUGAAUUAUUUUUUCGC